CAUGCCAGUCAUUAAGGUUGCUGCAUGGGACAAUGAGGACGACCUGGAUUUCAUCACCUGUCCCCCAGCACCACCACUACCUGCCUGCUUCCAGGCAGGCAUUGCUCAUAUGUACAGCCCCCAUAGCUGUGCACCAUCACCUCCACCAUUUCUGAUGCUGCCAGAGGAGCAGAAGGAUAUGGAGGCAGAGGAGGGGCCUAUGGUGUGCGGUCUCCUGCUGGAGGUCUGAGCAGCAGACCGGUUCAGGCAGCACCGGGAGAUCCUCAACCCUGUGCCGCCAUGGCUGCGCCAGGAGCUGCGAGCCAUCUUUGGGACACAGUGGUGGGAGGCAAUGGCAGAAGAGACCCUCAUCCUGAACACCCUGUGUGGCUGCAGUGACAUCACUGAGCAACAGACUGUGAUGCCACCGAGCUUUGGGCACUGGCAAGGCCUGGCCCAGUCAGUCUCGUGCCUGGACUCCUGCCGAGCGAGUGUGUGAGGCUUGGAGGUGGAGCGAGGAUUUUGCUCGUGUGUUGGGCUGUGCUUUGGGGACUGCUGGCAGCUGCUUUCAGUGCCCAUCCCUACAGCCAUCACCUGUAAUCCCCUGGCCUGCCUGGCUCAGGCAGCCGGGGCCCCACAAAGUGCACGUGCAGCAGCACAGGUGAGCCGGGUGAGAAUACAUCCCACAGGGUGGCAAUGGGGUAAUCGAAGGAACAAGGGGAGCUGCCAGGGCCAGGGCUGAAGUCUGACCCAGCGAGGGUGUGGGGCAUGCGGCAACACAGGAGUGGGUCAGGGAGGAUAGACUGCUGAGGGACCCAGGGGAAGUUCCUGUUGGAUAUCAGGAAAAAACUUAUAAAGAGUGGCAAUGCAUUGGAACAGUCUGCACAGGGAAGUCGUGGUGUCACCAUUUCUCGAGGCCAGGGAUCAAGAAAGAUGUAGGGGUGACACUGAGGGACAUGGCUUAGCCGACAUGGUGGUAAUGGGUUGAUGGUUGGAUCAGAUGAAGUCAGAAAUCUUUUACAACCUUAACGAUUCUAUAGUUUUAUGACCGGGACAUUUCUUCUAUCUGUUCCUGGGACAAAGAAUGACCAUGAUCUCUCUCCCUCUUGCAGUGCUCAACUUUCAACACUGAGGCACUGGUGAGGGAAAGCAAUUCAUCUUCAUUCCCCAUCAGGCCACAGAGUGAAGACCAUGGCAACAGAGGAGGAGUGGACAUGUCCUAUCUGCCGUGACGUGCAAAAGGACAUUGCCUACGCAGUGCCGUGCCGUCACGAGUUCUGCCUCGGCUGCAUCCUGCGGUGGGCCAUGCAGAAAGAGACCUGCCCAC
ensembl:lncRNA